rnacentral:rRNA from 1 species
UAGGUUGCAAGCGUUGUCCGGAUUUAUUGGUCGUAAAGCGAGCGCAGGCGGUUUCUUAAGUCUGAUGUGAAAGUCCCGGGCUCAACCGGGGAGGGUCCUUGGAAACUGGAAGACUUGAGUACAGAAGAGGAGAGUGGAAUUCCAUGUGUAGCGGUGAAAUGCGUAGAUAUAUGGAGGAACACCAGUGGCGAAGGCGGCUCUCUGGUCUGUAACUGACGCUGAGGCUCGAAAGCGUGGGGAGCAAACAGG